rnacentral:rRNA from 1 species
UACGUAGGGUGCGAGCGUUGUCCGGAAUUAUUGGGCGUAAAGAGCUUGUAGGCGGUUUGUCGCGUCUGCUGUGAAAAUCCGGGGCUCAACCCCGGACUUGCAGUGGGUACGGGCAGACUAGAGUGAUGUAGGGGAGACUGGAAUUCCUGGUGUAGCGGUGAAAUGCGCAGAUAUCAGGAGGAACACCGAUGGCGAAGGCAGGUCUCUGGGCAUUAACUGACGCUGAGAUGCGAAAGCGUGGGGAGCAAACAGG